UUCUUGCUUUUCUUUUUUGAAAUUUGUAAGCUUCUGUUGUGCAUGGAUUGGAUCAUGUAAUUAUGUCUUUUUCUGGAUUAGUUUGUCAUUUCUGUAACUCUUGUCAGAUUCCAUGGUUGGAUUUUGUUGUAUCGGUUAUCAACUUGGGCACUUGAAUUAGUUUGGGGCAGCUUUUGGUCCAUGGUGGGGUCCACCAGAUAAAUGCUCUGGAUAAUUGGCAGCGGGGCCCAACUGUAAAAAAUGCCGGCUCAAACUAAAAGGAUUGCAUUUCGGGUCAAGUAUUGUAUAGUACCUCAUUUUGUUUUACUGAGGUUUGCUAUGAUGGCAAUGUAUGGAUUUGAUGUUGUUAAUGUAGUGGGAAUGAUUUCACGGUACUUUCUCUUUUACCGAUCGAGUUUUGUUAUGAUGAACACAGUAAGAUUUUGUUGCAUUUAUGUUAUUAUAUUUAUUUGAUGCUUGGAUUAUUGGUUGGUUCUGUUGUCUGAUUGUGUCCUGGGAUUGAAUGAAUUGCUUUAAUGAUGUGGAAAUCAAAUGAAUUUUUCUCCGAUGCAUUGGGUAUUGAAAUUGGAUUAUUCUUGUGCUGUAUUCUUUGCUUGUAAAUGGUAUUUUAGUUGUCAGUUUUGAGCUUUUUACUCUAAUGGUUUGAUGUAUGAAUCACAUUAUCGGGUCAUAGGUUUCAUUCCAACUUUGUCCCCUGUCACAUUGCUAUUAUUUUAAUUUCACGAUUAAGUGGCACCGGUUAUUGCAUGCGAUCUAGCUCUUGUAAACACAUUUAAAAAGACAUGAACAUUUAAUAAUCUUCAAUAGUGGAUGAUAUACAAGAGAUAUAUAAUUCUUUCUACUUAGGAAGACACCGAUGAAUGUAUAAAGUUUGCAAGUUUGCUAGGUUAAGCCGGGAGAGUUUCACUGCUCAAUAUAGGUUAAUGGUUAUGGAUGUUUACAUGAAGAGAUGGAAGAGAGGGAGUGAAAUUAGUAGAUGUUUAAGAAUGAGGUGGUGGAAUUUAGAAGGAGGGAAAACAAUGUUAUUUAGUAAUGAAAUGAUGGAUGAAGGAUGUGAGGAAGAAGUUAAUAUUAUGUGGAAUGAGAUGGUAGAGUGCAUUGGGAAAGUGCCCAAAGAAGUUCUAGAGGAAAAGACACUAAUAUAAGGAAACUUGGUGGUGGAACGUGAUCAUGUUUAUUGGCAUAGCAAGGGACUAGAAAUGAGGAAGAUUUGGAAGACUAUAGAAACAACAAAAGAAAACUAAGAAAGUUGUAAGUGAGGCUAUAAGGCAUAUGAUGAUCUAUACAAUGGAUUUGGGAUAAGAGAAGGUGAGAAAGAUGACUUCGAACCGGCAAAGAUGAGAAAUAGGAAGGGUAGGAGUCAUAGGACCUUGAUCAUGUUAGAUGUAUCAAGAGUGAUGAAUAGAAGGUAUUGGUUUAAGGACCAUAAGAUCAAAUCAAUGUGGAGAAACUAUUUUUAGAACUUCUUAAAUGAUGUUAACUAUGAGAGCUUAGGAAUAGAAGGAAAUCAUAAGUGACGUUAACUCUAAUAGCCUAGGAAUAGAAGGAAUCAUAAACUCAAAUGGGGGUAAAGACUAUAUAUACUCUCGUAGGAUUAGCUUAAUUGAAGUGUAAGAAGCUUUGAGAAAGAUGAAAUAGGAAAGGCCACAGGAUCAUAUGGGAUAUACCAAUAGAGGUUUGGAAGUCCACAGGAGAUAUUGUUUAUUUUGGUUGACUAAAUUAUUAAACAAGAUCGUAAGAAUAAAAAACAUGGUAGAUGAAUGGAGGAAAAGUUCCAAUGUGCUUAUUUACAAGAAUAACAGAGAUGUAUAGGGUUGCUCUACUAUUAUGGCAUUAAACUUAUGAGUCAUACUAUGAAACUUUGGGAGAGAGUGAUUAAGCAAAGCUUAAGGCAUGAGACAUAUGUAUUAGAAUUAGUUUGGAUUUAUGAUGAAAGGUCAACAAUUGAGGCUACUUUCCUAUUUAGUUGAUGGAGAAAUAAAGGGAGAGGAAGAAGAUUCUCCAGAGUCUUUAUUGACUCGGUGAAAGCAUUUGAUAAGGUCCAUAGAGAGAUGAUUUGGUGGGUAUUGGGAAAGAAAUAAGUUUCAAGAGGAUAUAUUGACAUGAUUAAGGUUAUAUACGAGGAAGUGAUAAUAAAUAUAGGACUCCUAGUGCAUAGACAAGUGAGUUUUCUGUUAUCAUGGGCCUACACCAGGGGCAGGGGUCGGCAUUAAGCCAAUAUCCUUUUGCAUUAGUUAUAGAUGAAUUAAUGAAGCACUUCCAGGAAGAGGCUCUGUGGUGUAUAUUGUCUGCAGAUGACAUAGUUUUUAUUGAUGAGACGAGGAAGGGUUUAAAUGCAAUGCUAGAACUAUGGAGGAAUGCUUUAGAAUCUAGAGAUUUUAAAAUCAUUAGCAAUAAAACAUAGUAUAUGGAUUGCAAUUUUAGUAACAAUAGAGUCGAAACGAGGAAUUAGUUCAGAUUGCUGUCUAAAAAGUACCCCAAGGUGACCAUUUUCAAUAUCUCGGGUCCAUAAUUCAUGAUCACGGAGAGAUUGAGAAGGUUGUUGUUCAUCAAAUUAGAGCUGGGUGGAUGAAUUUGAGAUGUGCCUCCAGAGUUAAAUGUGAUCCCUGCAUACCAAUCAAAUUGAAGUGGCUAUAAGACCAACUGUGCUUUAUGGGAUAGAAUGUUGGAUGGUCAAGGAACAUGUUCAUAGGCUGAUUGUGGUUGAAACGAACAAAUUGAGAUGGAUGAGUGGCAAGAUGAGGAAGGAUAGAAAAUGAUUACAUUUGGGGGUACUUGGGAGCAACAUCAAUCGGUGAUAAGAUGAGGGAAAAUAGAUUUGGGUGGUUGGGUGAUGCAGGACAAUUAACCACUUGCUCUAAAAGCUCGAACUGUUAGAGCAUGAUGAAUUAAUCCCUUUAUCUCAUAGCCCAGGCCCCAAGUCCAUGGGUUAGGUCCUCAGCCAAACCCUCCUCAUGAGCUCCAAAUCCAUGGGUUCCGCCCUACACGAGCCACCCGCCUCACACCGCCCCCAAAUCCAUGGGUUAUGCGGGCCACCCACCCCGAGUGUGCCCCUGCAUCCCACAGGCCACCCCACUCUAGCCUGGUG